rnacentral:rRNA from 1 species
GGCCGCGGGAAUUCGAUUCAGGCCUAACACAUGCAAGUCGAGCGAGAAGCUCAUGAUCGAAACUUCGGUUGAUUGAUUGAGUGGAAAGCGGCGGACGGGUGAGUAACGCGUAGGCAACCUGCCCCUUGCAGAGGGAUAGCCUCGGGACACCGGGAUUAAAACCUCAUAAUGCGUUUUGAAGACAUCUUCGAGACGCCAAAGAUUUAUCGGCAAGGGAUGGGCCUGCGUCUGAUUAGUUAGUUGGUGGGGUAACGGCCUACCAAGGCAGCGAUCAGUAGCCGACCUGAGAGGGUGAUCGGCCACAUUGGAACUGAGACACGGUCCAAACUCCUACGGGAGGCAGCAGUGGGGAAUAUUGCACAGUGGGGGAAACCCUGAUGCAGCAACGCCGCGUGAAGGAAGAGAGGCCCUUGGGUCGUAAACUUCGUUCUAAGGAAGAUAAUGAC